UACGGGGGGAGCAAGCGUUGUUCGGAUUUACUGGGCGUAAAGGGCGCGUAGGCGGUAGCACAAGUCAGUUGUGAAAUCUCCGGGCUUAACUCGGAAAGGUCAACUGAUACUGUGCGACUAGAGUGCAGAAGGGGCAACUGGAAUUCUCGGUGUAGCGGUGAAAUGCGUAGAUAUCGAGAGGAACACCUGCGGCGAAGGCGGGUUGCUGGGCUGACACUGACGCUGAGGCGCGAAGGCCAGGGGAGCAAACGGG
rnacentral:rRNA from 1 species